rnacentral:misc_RNA from 1 species
AAAGUCGUAACAAGGUUUCCGUAGGUGAACCUGCGGAAGGAUCAUUACCAAAACAUAGCGUUCCAAACGCUUCAACCCUUUGUGAACCAAAAAACCUUUUUCGCUUCGGUAGCAAGCUUCGUUUCUCAACGAAGCUGUCAGCCUGCCGGUAGCACACCCAACCAAAACUUGUUGUCAAACAUUGUCUGAACAAAACCAUUUUCGAAUGAAAAUUAAAACUUUCAACAACGGAUCUCUUGGUUCUC